CACCAUGGACAAGUCAUGCCUGACGAACCUGAUUGUCUUCUCUGAUGAGAUAAUUGGCUCUGUGGAUGUGGGGAAAGCAGUGGACAUAAAAUACCUUGAAUUUAGCAAGGCUUUUGAUACGGUCUCCCACAGAAUUCUUGCCAACAAGCUGAGGAAGUCCAGAUGGGAUGGAU